UCCUGAAGGGCUAAUAAUGUACCUUGAAGAACUGGGAAAGUGUAAACUGUCUCAUAUUGAAGGACCUGUUCUUCUUCAACUAUUUCAACCAUUCAUUCAACUCUUAGCCAAGAGCAAACGAGAUAUUUGAUAAAAUCUUCGUAAAAGAUGACGAGACUGGUGAAUAUCUGAUCAAGG